UCUUAUUCAGAGUGGUGGAGGUACAUAGGACCGGUGAAGCCACGGCAACCCACCCGAGGGGAAGGUGCCAACCUGAGCGAGAGCCGUAAGGCCGUCGAACAAUAA
rnacentral:ncRNA from 1 species